GCUGCGCCUAGCCUUUGGCCGGGCGAAGAGUCGGACACCUUCACCGACCUGGCGCAGCCACUUCCAAUGAAGG
rnacentral:sRNA from 1 species